AGGUAGAGUUAUUAAAGUUACUAAAAAUACAUGAUAACAACAGAUAGUAGCAGCGGUGUAAAAGAGGGGAGGGGGGGACAAUGCAAAUAGUCGAGAAGCCCCUGACUGCAGUUACGGGCCGGGCUCAAUGUGGGCGGAGUCUAACGGGUUUAACCCUUCCCUUCUCCUUCAAGGUCACCCAAGUUGAGGUUCACGUCGAAGGUAGCAACGUCAACGAAAGCGAAUCUUAAACGAACCUAACCUACACGGAUAAAAACAUUGGACAAUAUGUGGCCUACCAAAGCAAGGUUUCUCAAGCAACUGUGGGGUGUUUGUUUUGAUGACGAUACUGAAAACAAAAUGCACGGCGAACUGGGAGCUGUGAACUGGGAAGCAGAUGUUCUUCUAAGCGACACCCUAGAGGCAGCAAGGGGAUGUGAACUCCAAACAUUUAAAGGCACUGUUCCCCUCCCUAGUGUAAUUGGGAUGGACGGGGAAGACUGCAUUACAACCCUUAAAGAACUAGGUUGUAUGAUGGCCUGGAUGAAGAUGAAAAUGUUCUCCUCAAGGAACCAUUCAUGUUACAGAGAGAUUAUGAGCUGUUCUAUUUGGAGGCAGUUGACAACAAGAAAAUUACUGUCUUUGCCUCUUUUGAGGAGCAGGAUUUAAGUGGUCAAAUCUUGUUUUGUCUGCUGUGUUAAUUGUUUCAAUUGUUAAUUGUGUUAUGUUGUUUAGUAAAGUUGACGUAGAAGUCACCCGAGUCU